AUUGAACGCUGGCGGCAUGCCUUACACAUGCAAGUCGAACGGCAGCACGGGAGCAAUCCUGGUGGCGAGUGGCGAACGGGUGAGUAAUAUAUCGGAACGUGCCCGGUCGUGGGGGAUAACGUAGCGAAAGCUACGCUAAUACCGCAUACGAUCUACGGAUGAAAGCGGGGGAUCGCAAGACCUCGCGCGAUUGGAGCGGCCGAUAUCAGAUUAGGUAGUUGGUGAGGUAAAGGCUCACCAAGCCGACGAUCUGUAGCUGGUUUGAGAGGAUGAUCAGCCACACUGGAACUGAGACACGGUCCAGACUCCUACGGGAGGCAGCAGUGGGGAAUAUUGGACAAUGGGCGCAAGCCUGAUCCAGCCAUGCCGCGUGUGUGAGAA
rnacentral:rRNA from 1 species